AGCAGCCGCGGUAAUUCCAGCUCCAAUAGCGUAUAUUAAAGUUGUUGCAGUUAAAAAGCUCGUAGUUGAAUUUCGGGAUUGACGUGACGGUCGUGCCUUAAGGGGCGUGAACUGUCGCCGUUGAUUUCUCACCUUCUGGAGAAGCUCGAUGUCCUUAAUUGGAUGUCUUGUGGAACCAGGACCUUUACCUUGAAAAAUUAGAGUGUUUAAAGCAGGCAUUUUGCUCGAAUACAUUAGCAUGGAAUAAUAGAAUAGGACGGCAUGGUUCUAUUUUGUUGGUUUCUAGGAUCACCGUAAUGAUUAAUAGGGAUAGUUGGGGGCAUUAGUAUUCAAUUGUCAGAGGUGAAACUCUUGGAUUUAUUGAAGACUAACUACUGCGAAAGCAUUUGCCAAGGAUGUUUUCAUUAAUCAAGAACGAAAGUUAGGGGAUCGAAGACGAUCAGAUACCGUCGUAGUCUUAACCAUAAACUAUGC
rnacentral:rRNA from 1 species